GGGGUUUGUUUGUUCCGCUAAGCCCUGCAUUAUUCAAGGGUCAACUGUAGCAGGAACUGCUGUUCCCAUUGCAUAAUAGGAAUUAUUAAUGUCCCAUAUUACAGAGGAGGGAAGGAGGGUGAGAGUGGCUAAAUCACUUGCCCAGGUUCUCGCCUAUUCAGAAGUAGAACCAGGAUCUCCCAAGUUCCAGUGGGAGAUCUCGUCACCGAUGAAGCCCCUUUUGCACCGUGCAGGAAUAUACCUAGGCAGAGUGAAAAGCUCAAGAGUUUUGCUGUUAGACCUGGAUCAAAUUCCAGCUUUGCCAUAUCCCAAGGAGUCCUAGUUUUCCUGUCUUUAAAAUGGCAACAACAACAAAAUCUGUCUCACAAGUUUCUGGGAGGGGUGAAAUGAAAUGAACUAGGAUAGAAAGCCCUGGCAGGCAUGCAACAGAGACUUGGUCAGGUAACCUUGGUUCUUUCCCACAGUCUGGCUCUCCUUUUUGCCCCCUGGAUUGGCCACACCUGCUCUCACCUCUGAGCCCUUGCUCAUGCUGUUCUCUCUGGUUAUAAAUCCCUCCCUGUCUCCUCCUCUUAUCUCACUCAAAACCCAGCUGAGAUUUCAGCAUUUCCAUGCAGACUCCUCCCUUAUACCUGUUCUUCUUUCCGCACUUGGGACUCUGCCAGCACUUGGCAUUUAAUCAGCCACAGUGGAUUUAAGUGUUUCACUUGUGAGUGGCUUAUCUCCCACAUUACACUAGAUAUUCCUUGAGGGCACUGACCAGCCUCCUGCAUCCGUCCGUCAGCUUGGCCCAGCCACAGCUCUGUCUCUUCUUGGUGAGUGGCUCUGGGCACUUGCCCCUUCCCAUCACUGUGCCUAAUCCCUCUCCUGUACACGGUGGGGACCACUGGAGGAGCUCUGGAGACUCCCUCUUGUGAACAUUAGGACUCCAAAAUGGUCCCCAGCUUGCUUCAGAGAGCUCACAGCCAAGAUGACAAGUGAGACCAUCAACCAUCAGUCCACUACCACCCUCAUAUCAUUGUUUUAUAUGUAUGAGAACCACCAUCAUCAUGGCAGUUACCUCCAAUUCAGCACCUUUUACAGAUCAUCACCAGCUUCUCACUCAGCUGCCAUGCAUUGACUUCCCUGUUGAUCCAGCCUACUGCGGACCCAAAUAUUCCUGUUGCCAGAUAGGAGGGAUGAGUAAUGGAGACUCCAGUCCUCAGAGACCUUGAUCAAGUAAAGCAAAAACCCCUUCCUCCACUUUCUUUGCAAGUGGCUAAACCCUUAGUCACUCUGGGAAGAAAAGUAAACUGAAAACUUGAAAAAGUCCCAAGACAGAAUCUAACUCCAUCCCCUGCCCCAGAUAAAAAGCAAGAUAGCACAACUAUAGCAACCUUUUAAGUCAAAUUAAAUGAGCUAAUAAAAAUCAGGCCUGUUCAAGUGCCCAAUUGAUUUAAACAUGAAGAUUGUCAGUUUCCAGCAUCACUGAUUCUAAUCCAACAACCCUCACCAUAGAGGUCUUCAUUCAGCCUGCUGUGUUUGGAGGUUUUGCUUAUUGGGUGUGUAUCUGUAAGGUAAAUCUUGACGAUUUCCUUACUACAGACAAUUAUCUGGCUGGAGAUGUC
rnacentral:lncRNA from 10 species